rnacentral:rRNA from 1 species
CACGGGUGAGUAACACGUAUCCAACCUGCCGUCUACUCUUGACAGCCUUCUGAAAGGAAGAUUAAUACAAGAUGGCAUCAUGAGUUCACAUGUUCACAUGAUUAAAGGUAUUCCGGUAGACGAUGGGGAUGCGUUCCAUUAGAUAGUAGGCGGGGUAACGGCCCACCUAGUCUUCGAUGGAUAGGGGUUCUGAGAGGAAGGUCCCCCACAUUGGAACUGAGACACGGUCCAA